rnacentral:rRNA from 1 species
AUGAACCGCAUGAGGAGGAUCGCGGGGAUGGGCAAGAGCAAGAAGGCCCCGUCCGCGGUUCAGAAGGACAAGGACGAGAGCAUAGUUUUCUUCCGGGAGCUGUACAAGCAUGAGGAAGAUACGGAUGUGAACCUCCUGGAGCCGAUCUACUCCGUGGAGUUCGACGCCAUCCAAGGUGGUCAUAUGUCCAAGCCUCCCUCGGGGAAGAGAGAUCUCCUCAUGCCGAUCAUCGAGAAGCACGACUAUGACUGGCCCAAGACCCCUCCGGUUGCACCAAUGUUUCCUUCCCUCAAGAUGGAAGCCAGCUCCUCCGAAACGGUGGUUGCCCCUAAGGUGACACACAUCCCGAUCACGCAACCUGUCAAACCUUCAGCUUCAAGGUUCAUUGGCAAGACUGAGGCGACCAAAACAUCAGCCAAGACUCCGGCAGGUUCUUCGUCAAGCAACUCUGCCAAGAGCCAGCCUUGCACGACCGACAGGAGACCAGCUUCAGCUUACGCUACUCUGCCCAACAGGCAGCAGAAACCAGAUGCCAAAGCCAAUACUGGCACAAGCAGCAACUCAGGCAAGGAACACUCGCACACGUACUACGCAAAUGCAAGCCAGGACAGCAGCAGCAGCAGUGCAAGUACAACCAACACGGUGGAGACGCCAGGAGAAGCCCCUUACACGGCGCCCAAGAAUCUGCUCACGACUGGGUCUAUUUUCGCACGGCGCAGGGCAUCAGCAACGGCAGUGGCGACAGCUCCACCAUUGGGCGUGGACACCAAAGUCGAGAGCGCGAAGGCGAGGAGGCCACCAUCUUCUGCGGCAAGAGCUUCCAAGGAGCUGCAGGUAGAUGCCAGGAAGAAUGCUUUACCAGCCAAGGGCAAGGCUGUGGCCGGCACCGGCAGCGAGCCUGUUUGCAACAGCAGUGGCCGUGCCAGCACCAGCAAGACCGCACCAGCAAAGGGAAUGCGAAGAACAGAUGGCAAGAACGAGCGGAGACCAAAGUUUGCAGACCAGUGA